GACUCCUUAGUUCAAUGGAAAGAACAGUGGCCUUCUAAGCCUCUAAUCCCAGUUCGAAUCUGGGAGGAGCCA
rnacentral:tRNA from 2 species